rnacentral:lncRNA from 1 species
GCUGUAGCUCAGGAAUUUGGACAGAGCAAAACAGAAAUGGCUCGUCUCUGCUCCAUGAAGGCUGGUCCUCAACUGGGAAGACUCAAUGAACAAUUCGAGUUCUGUCAGAAAACGUCUCGUUCCUGUUCCUGGAUGAACUAAAGACUCUGCCUGGAAAAGAACUAAGCUGCAAUAUACACACACCUGACUGCACAGCUGCUGAAGAGGAGAACUUCUGUUUAAUCUGUUUUAAAUAAUAGACAGGUGGAGUCUUACUCUGUAAUCCAGGCUGGAGUGCAAUGAUGUGAUCUCAGCUCACUGCAACCUCUACCUCCCAGGUUCAAGCAAUUCUCCUGCCUCAGUCUCCCAAGUAGAUGGAAUUACAGCUUGGCCAGGCAUGAUGGCUCAUUCCUGUAAUCACAGCACUUUAGGAGGCCAAGGCAGGAGGAUCACUUGAGCCCAGGAGUUCGAGACCAGCCUGGGCAACAUAGCAAAACCCUGUCUCUAUUUUAACAAAGUAAUAGUUUCAGAAUAGCAAUGUCAAUAGUAUUAGUAGAAAUUUGAAUGCUAAAAAAACAGUUUAAGACUUUCUGCUUGUUUGAUUUUAUGGUACAUACUACCAGGGAUGUAACCUCAGAUUACUGUAUUUUAAAGUUAAUUAAAAUACUUCCUCCGUCUGAGCUUAUGCCACCAACUCGUGGAACAGUUAGGUUUAUUCGUUUCAUUUUGCCUUGCUUUAUAAAGAUAGCUUUUAAAAGCAAUUGUGUUAUAAUUGUUUAUAGUAGUACUGUAUCGUGUAACAACUACAUUCUAUAGGGUCACCCUUGUAUCCAUCAUGUAAUGAUUGUUAUACAGGUAAAUAUAUAUAUUCAACGCCCACCUGAUCCUUAUGCCAAUUCCUCUUCGGUCAUUUGUUUGUCUUUUUCUAGUAGGUUCCUUAGGAAGGGCACAGAGAACAAUACUCCAUGAGUUCUGGCAUAUUCUUAACAGUUUGUGCAUGACUUUAAACUUGACUGGGUAUAAAAUUCUUGCCUACAUUUUCUUUUCUUUUUUUUUUUUUUUUUUUGGAAGGGAGCUUUGCUCUUGUUGCCCUGGCUGGAGUGCAGUGGUGUGAUCUCAGCUCUCUGCAACCUCCGCCUCCUGGGUUCAAGCGAUUCUCCUGCCUCGGCCUUCCGAGUAGUGGGAUUACAGGUGCGCGCCACCAUGCCUGGCUAAUUUUUUGUAUUUUUAGUUGGGACCGGGUUUCACCAUGUUGGCCAGGCUGGUCUCAAACUCCUGACCUCAGGUGAUCUGCCCGCCUUGGACCCCCAAAGUGCUAGGAUUACAGACGCGAGCCACCGCGCCCGGCCUUGACUACAUUUUCUUAACUGUUUGUAAUAUACUUUAUUCCAUUGCCCUAUGGUAUAAAAUGUUGCUGUUGAGAAAUCUGUCCGUCUUAGUCUCUUUCCCUAAUGAGUGGCUUGGUUGUUUCACUUUGAUGUCUAAAGAUUUCAUUUGGUUUUUCCCUUUUCUUUCAGUUCAAUAAAUUUACUUUAAAAAAAAGUCUCAUUUUGGCCACUAUCAAUGGAUUUUCCGAGGUACCUCAUGUGCCCGUUAAAGAUGUGGAUUCAGAUCUACUUGAUAUCAGUAACAUUUUUCUGAACUAUAGCUCCAGUUUGCAUUCAUUCCCCUUGCUUUGAGUUUCUUCUUUUGAGACUCUUAUUACAUGUAUGCUAAUAUAUAAGUAAUAAUCUAUUACUCCCUCUCCAAACCAUUUUCAAAAAUUUUAAAAAAUAUGUUUUUUAUUUUUGUAGAGACAGAAUCUUGCUAUGUUGCCCAGGCUGGUGUUGAACUGCUGGCCUCAACCAAUCCUCCUGCCUCGGCCUCUCAAAGUGCUGGGAUUACAGGUGUGAGGCACCACACCUGGCUUCUCCAGCCCUUAUCUUUUUUUAAAAUUUUGUUUUAAUUUCUUAUUUUCCUCUCAUUCUAUUUUCUCUUUUUUUCUUAUGAUGUUUAUUUGUCCUUAAGCUCAUCCUACUUUGGUCUUCAUUUCUGAAAUUAUUUUUUCUUUUACUCCUAGUUCUUUUUAAAAUUCUCUUAGCUCACAUUUCAAACUUUUCUUUUGUCCAAUCAUCUCAUUUUCUUUUUUUUUCCUCUUUUAAAAUAUUUUGAGACAGGGUCUCACUGUGUCACUCAGGCUGGAGUGCAGUGGUGCAAUCAUAGCUCAUUACAGCCUUGACCUCCUGGACUCCAGCGAUCCUCCCACUUCAGCCUCCUAAGUAGCCAGGAUUACGGUAGCACACCAUCAUGCCUGGCUAAUUUUAUUUUUUGUUUUUUGUAGAGACAGGGUCUUGCUAUGUUACCUAGGCUGGUUUUGGACUUUUAGUCUCAAGCAGUCCUGCUGUCUCAGCCUCCCUAAAUGCUAAGAUUACAGGCUCAUUUUCUAAUUCUGAUUUAUGGCAUUCUUCCAUAGCUACAAUCAUU